AGGUGGUAUGGCCAAGUGGUAAGGCAGGAGCCUGCAAAGCUCCCAUUCCCCAGUUCGAAUCUGGGUGCCACCUA
rnacentral:tRNA from 1 species